SAUAGUGGCGCACGGGUGCGUAACGCGUGGGAAUCUGCCCUUGGGUUCGGAAUAACAGCUGGAAACGGCUGCUAAUACCGGAUGAUGACGUAAGUCCAAAGAUUUAUCGCCCAGGGAUGAGCCCGCGUAGGAUUAGCUAGUUGGUGGGGUAAAGGCUUACCAAGGCGACGAUCCUUAGCUGGUCUGAGAGGAUGAUCAGCCACACUGGGACUGAGACACGGCCCAGACUCCUACGGGAGGCAGCAGUGGGGAAUAUUGGACAAUGGGGGMAACCCUGAUCCAGCAAUGCCGCGUGAGUGAUGAAGGCCUUAGGGUUGUAAAGCUCUUUUACCCGGGAUGAUAAUGACAGUACC
rnacentral:rRNA from 1 species